rnacentral:rRNA from 1 species
UACGUAGGGUGCGAGCGUUGUCCGGAAUUAUUGGGCGUAAAGAGCUUGUAGGCGGUUUGUCGCGUCUGCCGUGAAAAUUCGAGGCUCAACCUCGAACUUGCGGUGGGUACGGGCAGACUAGAGUGUGGUAGGGGAGACUGGAAUUCCUGGUGUAGCGGUGAAAUGCGCAGAUAUCAGGAGGAACACCGAUGCGAAGGCAGGUCUCUGGGCCACUACUGACGCUGAGAAGCGAAAGCAUGGGGAGCGAACAGG